rnacentral:rRNA from 1 species
GACGAACCGUGCAAACGUUGUCCGGAAUUAUUGGGCGUAAAGAGCUCGUAGGCGGUCUGUCGCGUCGGAUGUGAAAAUCCAGGGCUCAACCCUGGACCUGCAUUCGAUACGGGCAGACUAGAGUUCGGUAGGGGAGACUGGAAUUCCUGGUGUAGCGGUGAAAUGCGCAGAUAUCAGGAGGAACACCGGUGGCGAAGGCGGGUCUCUGGGCCGAAACUGACGCUGAGGAGCGAAAGCGUGGGGAGCAAACAGG